rnacentral:rRNA from 1 species
UACGAAGGGGGCUAGCGUUGUUCGGAAUCACUGGGCGUAAAGGGCGCGUAGGCGGCCGAUCAAGUCGGGGGUGAAAGCCUGUGGCUCAACCACAGAAUUGCCUUCGAUACUGUUUGGCUUGAGACCGGAAGAGGUAAGUGGAACUGCGAGUGUAGAGGUGAAAUUCGUAGAUAUUCGCAAGAACACCAGUGGCGAAGGCGGCUUACUGGUCCGGUUCUGACGCUGAGGCGCGAAAGCGUGGGGAGCGAUCCGG